rnacentral:tRNA from 1 species
GUUAACAUGGCAGAGAAUUGCUAAAGAUUUAAGAUCUUUGAAUGGGGAACCUGUUAAUA